UACGUAGGGGGCAAGCGUUGUCCGGAUUUCUUGGGCGUAAAGAGCGUGUAGUCGGCCAUACAGGUCAGCUGUGAAAACUCGAGGCUCAACCUCGAGACGUCGGUUGAAACCGUAUGGCUAGAGUCCGGAAGAGGAGAGUGGAAUUCCCGGUGUAGCGGUGAAAUGCGCAGAUAUCGGGAAGAACACCCGUGGCGAAGGCGGCUCUCUGGGACGGUACUGACGCUGAGACGCGAAAGCGUGGGGAGCGAACAGG
rnacentral:rRNA from 1 species